rnacentral:rRNA from 1 species
GACGAACGCUGGCGGCGUGCUUAACACAUGCAAGUCGAACGGAAAGGCCCUGCUUUUGUGGGGUGCUCGAGUGGCGAACGGGUGAGUAACACGUGAGUAACCUGCCCUUGACUUUGGGAUAACUUCAGGAAACUGGGGCUAAUACCGGAUAGGAGCUCCUGCUGCAUGGUGGGGGUUGGAAAGUUUCGGCGGUUGGGGAUGGACUCGCGGCUUAUCAGCUUGUUGGUGGGGUAGUGGCUUACCAAGGCUUUGACGGGUAGCCGGCCUGAGAGGGUGACCGGCCACAUUGGGACUGAGAUACGGCCCAGACUCCUACGGGAGGCAGCAGUGGGGAAUAUUGCACAAUGGGCGGAAGCCUGAUGCAGCAACGCCGCGUGCGGGAUGACGGCCUUCGGGUUGUAAACCGCUUUCGCCUGUGGCGAAGCGUGAGUGACGGUAAUGGGUAAAGAAGCACCGGCUAACUACGUGCCAGCAGCCGCGGUGAUACGUAGGGUGCGAGCGUUGUCCGGAUUUAUUGGGCGUAAAGGGCUCGUAGGUGGUUGAUCGCGUCGGAAGUGUAAUCUUGGGGCUUAACCCUGAGCGUGCUUUCGAUACGGGUUGACUUGAGGAAGGUAGGGGAGAAUGGAAUUCCUGGUGGAGCGGUGGAAUGCGCAGAUAUCAGGAGGAACACCAGUGGCGAAAGGCGUUUCUCUGGGCCUUUCCUGACGCUGAGGAGCGAAAGCGUGGGGAGCGAACAGGCUUAGAUACCCUGGUAGUCCACGCUGUAAACGGUGGGUACUAGGUGUGGGGUCCAUUCCACGGGUUCCGUGCCGUAGCUAACGCUUUAAGUACCCCGCCUGGGGAGUACGGCCGCAAGGCUAAAACUCAAAGGAAUUGACGGGGCNCCGCACAAGCGGCGGAGCAUGCGGAUUAAUUCGAUGCAACGCGUAGAACCUUACCUGGGUUUGACAUGGAUCGGGAGUGCUCAGAGAUGGGUGUGCCUCUUUUGGGGUCGGUUCACAGGUGGUGCAUGGCUGUCGUCAGCUCGUGUCGUGAGAUGUUGGGUUAAGUCCCGCAACGAGCGCAACCCUUGUUCACUGUUGCCAGCACGUUAUGGUGGGGACUCAGUGGAGACCGCCGGGGUCAACUCGGAGGAAGGUGGGGAUGACGUCAAGUCAUCAUGCCCCUUAUGUCCAGGGCUUCACGCAUGCUACAAUGGCUGGUACAGAGAGUGGCGAGCCUGUGAGGGUGAGCGAAUCUCGGAAAGCCGGUCUCAGUUCGGAUUGGGGUCUGCAACUCGACCUCAUGAAGUCGGAGUCGCUAGUAAUCGCAGAUCAGCAACGCUGCGGCGAAUACGUUCCCGGG